GACCAGUUCGGGCGCAGGAGGAGGAGGGGGGGGAGGGCAAUCGAACAUGGUGCCGUCAAUGGUUUAUAUCCCCCCGCCCUUGAGCAGGGUCGCGGCGGCG
rnacentral:ribozyme from 1 species